UAUGAUCAGUUUCAUUUGCUUUGGUAUUUUCUUUGAAGGGAUGAAUUUUGAAGCAUCUGGUUGGGUCUAUGUCCAGAACAAUGUCGGCGAAGGCUCUGAUUUUGGAUAGAAAGCUUAUCAAAGUUAUUAAGGUUCAAAGUCUCCGUCUGAUCAUACUAAUUUUGUGGCGUCCAUGCUGUAUGGACUUAUUCAGUUUUCCACGGGUGCUUGUUCCAGUUUAGAGCAAUCCAACUAAGGACUGUGUAAUCAAAACUGUUAGAGAAUCCAAGUUCUUGAGCUGGGAAGGCAGGAGGGAUUGUCUGAUUCUUUUAUUUUCAAGGAUUAGAGGAGAUGCGAUGAACAUAUAGUUCUCUCAUGUUGUGAGUUGGAGUCCUUUUGUUGCAGAUCUUUUUGAAUUCGACCUGGUUUGUGUUGUAGUGUAUUUGAGUUAGCAAGCUUUUGCUUUUUGCUUCUCCUGGGGUAUUUUUCGUACAAGUGGUUUAUGUCAUGCUCUCUAUCUUUGUCUACAAACCUCACUGGAUAAAACUUCAAUUACUACAAUUGAGCCUUGUGUCCAAGGCUAAGUCUUGUUGUUGGUUAGGUUGGUCAUAUGUGGCUACUUUUUGCUGCUUCUGGGGUAUUUUUGGUAUAAUUGGUUAAUUUUGGGUGCCAGUUCAAGUCUCUCUUUGAUAAUGUCGUCCUCUCAUCUUUUCUGUGAACUUCACUGGAUGAAACUCCUAUUGAGUCCUGUUUCAAGGCUAACUCUAGUGGUUGCUUUGCUGGUGGCACAUGGAUGGCAGUUUGGCUUGUCAGAUGCUUCUAGCUUUACCCCUGUGAGAUGAGAAACUGAUUGCAGAUAUUCACCAACAUCAUGGCAGAUUAUUCGUUUCUACUUUCAAUUGGUUUGUUGCCGUCCGUAGAAGCUCUCUUGUGGAUUCUCUUUAUAUUGAAGUUCCAGUUGAUAUUACUCGCCUGACAAAUUAGUUUUAUAUUGCUUGUGUUUUGGAAUCAAAAGUUACUUGGCCACGAGCUCACACAAUCCCUCUACAUGGAUUCACCCCUGAUUCUCCCCAUAAUUCUUACUCUAUCAAGAACGAGUCGAUUUACUUGGCCUUUUCUUUCUUUGCCAUCAAGUCAUUCGUGUGGUUGAAUUAUCCAAAAAAUGUUGUUCCUACUAAAGGCUAAGUAGUAGAAUAAAUCCCAACCUUCUAAUGAGUGCAUAAUUUCAUCCUGAUAUUUAAUCUUAUCAUAAAAAGAUCCAACUGUUUAAAUUUGUUUCAAAGUUAUUUGCCAAGUCCUUUAAUGCCUGCAGUGGCGUCUGGCGAUAUCGUUCGUCUUCUCGAUUGAGAGCUUUCUCCUUCGGCCCGUCUCCCUUUUCUAAUUCCGUUUCUCGAUUGACUGAUUGUUGAUGGGGGCCUGAUAGCUAUCUCGGUCUUGAUUUUGUGGAAGCAUCAUCUGGUUGCAGAGACCCACCCACACCCCUGUUGCGCGGAGAUUCUCGAGGGGUUCGCUUGGCCUACGAUCUCUGUCGGCGUCUGGCGAUAUCGUCGUCUUCCAGAGAGAAGUAGCGAUCCCGAUUUGACUGUUGAUGCGGAGAUUUUUCAGGCUCAUUAUGGAAUCGUGUUGUUCGGUGGAUGGGCAGUGCGCGGCUUCUUUCCUUCCUCUUGGAUCAUAUCUCUUGAGGAUGCCGUGAUGCCGUAAUGGGAGUGUUUGGUUUAGCUCCUCCUUUGACCCUUUAUUAAUACAAUGCCCGAUCGAUCUUUCUGUACAAUUGUUUCACGAGCUGUUUCUGGAUUUUGUUAUUUGGUGAAUCCGCAGUAGAUCCUUUCCCCUUGGAGCGAAAUUGUUUGUUUGAGGAUGUCAAGGACGAUGAACAUCUUGUUUCAUAAAACACAGGUUGGAGUUUUGCUAGGCUGAAAUUUGCUGGUCUAGUCCCGACAGGUUGGAGUUUUGCUAGA